rnacentral:misc_RNA from 1 species
AAAGUCCUCCGUGAACCUUCAUCCUGCUCUUGUAACCCGCGUAGUUCGCAAUCUCUGAUAAAUCAUAGCCCGGAAAGUUGUAGUGAUUCAGAGACCUCUAGUUACAAUCGAGCGGUAGUUCUAUAGGCAAUGUUUCCCCAAGCAGUCAGUGUCGGAAAGUGUCAUUGAUUGUGCAAGGAUAGCGCUUCUACGAUUCCUGUAGACCGUACACUCGGGCAGGAGCUUUGCCAAAGGGUCCCCAUGCCCCCUAAUAACCCCACAGUUUAAUGUGAAGCUCAAUGUAAUACAUUGGGUAAAAAAACCGAACAACUGUUAACAAUGGAUAUCUUGGUUCUC